rnacentral:rRNA from 1 species
UACGUAGGGUGCAAGCGUUAAUCGGAAUACUGGGCGUAAAGCGUGCGCAGGCGGUUUUGUAAGUCUGUCGUGAAAGCCCCGGGCUCAACCUGGGAAUUGCGAUGGAGACUGCAAGGCUUGAAUCUGGCAGAGGGGGGGUAGAAUUCCACGUGUAGCAGUGAAAUGCGUAGAGAUGCGGAGGAACACCGAUGGCGAAGGCAGCCCCUCUGGGCCAACACUGACGCUCAGGCACGAAAGCGUGGGGAGCAAACAGG